CCGAGUUUGGUGCCAUGGAGAUCGACGAUGAAGAUGUCAUUGCCCACAAAAGUGUCAAGGCAUUGAAGAGAGAAGACAUGUCCCCUGAGAGCCGAGAUGUGGAAAGCAUUAGGUAAAGUGGCAAGAGGAGCCGGAUGUGCAGCUUGUGCUUUUCUUUGUUGGCUGGUGGUUGCUGCUGAAGUGCAGAUUGAUGAUGCCUGGUGAUAUUGAAGUCCUAGUAGAUAGAUAUGCCCUAUGAUAAUUGUUUUCUUGUUGGUGGCUUACUUGUCGGCUGGUAGGUAUUGAGUCGAUGAAGUACCUUGUCGAAUUCUCAGCUCUUGUUGAUGUUCUCUUUUCUCGAUGGAGAGAGAGAGUGAUAUAUGAAGUGUAAAUUUCUGCAUAUUUUUUUCCACGAGUCUCUCCGAAAUGAAACCGGGAAUUGUGUGCCAUGCCAAUCUAUCAAUCUCUCUGUCUGUGAGUUGCCGAGAAGUUUCAAGCUGAGUGAUUUACAUAAUGGUAGUUUGUGCAAGCAUGCAUUUUAUGAUUGUUGUCUGCCUUGGCUUAUGAAUUUUUGUUCACCAAUAAACAGUUUGCAAUGUACUCCCUUUGUAAAGAAAUAUAAGAGCGUUUAGGUCACUAUUUUAGUGAUCUAAAUGCUCUUAUAUUUCUUUACAGAGGGAGCAGAUGUCUUGACUUGUCUUGUAGGAAGGAAUAUUGAUAGAUAGAUGUAUCAUGGAGGCCUAUCUAAAUCAGCCCCUCAUGAUAUGCAAUGUAGGUGAUGUGGUUUCUGGCGGUGUUGUGGACGGGUCAUUUGGAGUUGGUCCAUGCUCGAGGUGAGGUAUAUGUCAUUGUAUUUAUUUAGUGUUUUGUUUAAUUUGUUCCCUUGUCUGCCUAAUAACUAGCUAGCUAGCUAGUACAUCAUCACGCCUCGUAUCCUGACUAAGUGCACGCACAAGCAACAAUUUAUGCCUUAUUUCUCCUAUGGACAUGGCAUGGCAUGGCAUAUCUCUGUUGGUAGGCUUUUGCCGUGAACAUCUAGUUGAACAUGCGUCCAAAACAUCUACUUGAACCAAAAUCAAAUAUAAAAUUGAAUGCCAAAAUGGCCAAAGAAAGAAGACACAGCAAAUAUUUUCAUGGAUUUUGGUGUUGACAGCAAGCAAAAAAAAACGCCCAUGACCAUUGGUCGUCUAACAGCCACACUGGUAGCUAGUCUUGUACUCCAUGCAAAUGCGGAUGCCAUUUGACAUUUUAGCUAGUCUUGUACAUGCAAAUGCGUACUAGCAAGCAGAGCAGUUACAUAAGUUGUGCAAGAAGAGGACAUGAUAGCUAGCUAGUAUAGAUACGAUAGAUAUCACCCGAGGAAGCCAGCUAACACACGUAUAGAUAGUAUCUUAUCAUAUUUCGUUAGACUGAGCGGCUGUUUUUUUUUAGUUAUGAUUUGGACUCCCUUAAAAGACGCUAGCAGUUAGUGCGUACCUAUUAAUUACUAGGACGGAGGAAAAAUCAACAGAUCUCCUUCCACCUUCCAAGGAAACUUAACCGAUGGAAACCCACUUUUCAAGGAAUUGGAUUUAAUCCUCUCCCAAACCAACGCAUCCAUUAUUCCCUCCCCCCUCGAUCCAGCCUGCCUUCUUCCAUUCGAUCCUCAUGCCUCACGCGGAUCGACCACCCAUCCCACGGCUGGCCAUGUUCCUUGCCGGCUCGCUGCUCCCCAUGAUAUGAGGGCGCCGGCCUCUCCUCUCUUAUAUAUACCGCCUUGCUUUGUUUGCUCCUCCUUUUUCCUUAGAUCCAACACCCUGCGCUCGUCUCUGAUCGAAUGCGUCCAUGCCCGAUGCAACACAUGUGGUGCUCGUUCGUAUGAGCCGUCUGUCUUGGGCACCCUGGCCAUGCCUACCUCACUCGUCCACUCUAUCUAUGUAUGUAAGAUCAUGCACUACCUUCUUCAUCUAACUUGCUUCUUUAAGGAAAUCAACCUUGGUGCUUAGACUCUGAUGCGUUUUUUCUUUCUUUUGGACCUGGCGAUGCAUCUAUUUGACAUGGAGGCACAGACAAGAGCACACCUGGGCACCAGUCAUCAUAUUACUAAACCACAGUAUAGAAGCAAAGGUUAGUGGAAAACCAAACUGUACAUGCAUCGGCAUCUGUUGGUUGGAUGCUUCCUUUCAUUUUGUUUUGUCGUCCUUUUCUCUUAUGAUGAAUUAAUUAAUGUGUUGCUCUGCUCUAGUGGAUCUCAAUCUGGACUGUAUCGAGCUACACAACCCAUACGAGCCAGCUGGCAAAUCCAAUUCCAAGGUAACACUAUUCCCUUCAAACGUAGAAUGAUGUAGAAGUUUCGAACAUUUUCUAUAUAGCAGCAAGGUGCACAUUGAGAGUAAGCACACAUAGCGUGUCUCUGAAUUCUGCUUUGUUGCUAAUUAACUGCAAGAACGGUUUCAGAGAUACUAACAAACAAUGGUUUGUGUUUGGUUUGCCAUUGUACAUACAGUCCAAUUCAUCAAGUACAAACAAAUAUAACUUGUAGGUCUAUGCUAUAUAUGUCUGUAUUAUUCCUGUUCGUUUUUUAUGCACACUUACAUGCUAUAGAACCCUAGCAGACAACCUCAUACGUAUACUGCCCCUUGUAAUUCUCGGUCUAGUUCAGUUCUCACUAACCUAUGGUACAUUGAUGGAGCAGAUAAUAGGAAAUCUACUUACUAGUGAAUCAUGACCAAUGGUACAUUGAUGGAGCAGAUAAUAGGAAAUCUACUUACUAGUGAAUCAUGAGCUAAUGAAUUUCAGAAUAAGCUACUAAAAUACAAGCUAGGUAGGUAGUGCAAAACAUAACAUUCGGCAUUGUUCAUGAGCAAAUCACUAAGAUAUGUUAAUGCCAAAAUGAAAUUUGGUUAUCAACUAAAAUGAGUGAAGAACAAGACGAUGUGAAAUAUAAAAUGCAAGACGUGCAUGCAUCUCGUGUUGCUUAACUAGCAGCGAGCUUGGUGUCUCCGGGUGUGGUUGGUGUGGCGGUGGUGUCGACUUCUCCUUGAAGUAUUUGUUCCUCCGGCAAUCUCAUCCUCGCGGUGGCUCUUACUCCUGAGUUGUUGUGUGUACAGGUGGAUUUGUUCAGGGUUCGGUGGCUGAUGUUGUUCCUGUAAGCGGAAUUAAAGACAUGUGUUGGCUGAUGCAGUUCAUGUUUAACUUGCUGGCAAAGCACCGGCCAAUACAUUGUUGGAAGACUUUUGGGAUGUGAAAAAUGAGAGAGAGGAGAGCGCGCUAAUGCUCCGCUGCCACUGGUUGCUGCUGCUGCUGAUCUCUCUGGGGAGAGAUGGUCUUUUAAAUGAGAAUUUGAGCUAGGGUUGUGCAUGCAUUUAUUCAACGCGUUAUGCUGCCAAAAUUUCUGGUCGAAAUUCCCACGACUUGUCGAAAUUUUGUCCUUCUUUGUAAGGAAACAAAACGUUUAGGGUGUCGGAUGCAAAAUGUUAGGGUCUUGGCUGCAAGAUUUUGUAAUUUGUGAGGAUGUAAACAGAAAUUAAUUUUAACAUUUGUUCCGAAUUCCGAAAAAUAUUAGUACUUCGAUGUUUGUUCACUUAUUUUCAGAAAAUGUUUGAAAAUUAAAAAGUAUUUUAAUUUCAGUUUUUUUUUGCCUUUCGGAAAAUGUUAGACUUGUUAGGUAUUAGUCUAAAAUUAGAUAACAAGCAGAUUAAAAUUAGCAAACCAACCACCUGAAGAAAAGCAGAUACAGUAGAUAACACACCAAAAAAAAUAGUGUGCAUAUACUCUCAAAGCUUCAAUUACUAGUGUGCGCGCAUCAUACAUCACAAGAUUCAGAUUCAAACCUAGUGCGUAUAUGCCUAUGAAGGCACAUGCUUUUAUAUAUUGGAGCAUAUAUAGCAGCUGUUCUUGCCUACUGCAAUUUAACCUAGCUGAGACGCAAAUAAUGCCGGCCAAUCUACCUCCAUAGGCACGGCCCACAUGGACAGGCCGCUCCGAAAUUGCUCCUCCUCUACUGUUCCAGUUUCGAUAUUGAUCCCGUGCACGCACUCAAACUCGUCUACGAUGAGCAAUGUGCCGCUUCUCUCCCCUGACCUACAACGGGUUUUCCACUCUCCUUUCGGUGGUUUUAGCUCGACCACCCUAACGAGAAGCCAUGCUUCGCUAUCUGUGCCGUUUUGCAGCCUCCAUAUGUCUAGACGACACAUGUCAGCUCCAACUUUAUAGAAGAGACAAAACAACAAUAGUGACCUGUCAACGGAAACACCAAGCGUCCAAGCAUGCGCUUCAACAAUCUUUUUGGGUGAGUUGGUCAGUCGGGAUCAAGAUCUAGGUGAGUUGGUCAGUAGUGAUAGUUGAAUAGCUCGUAGGUUGCACUUGUCAAAUAAACUUAUACCCAUCGGAAAGUCUACAUGAAUUCUCCCAAAAAAAAGAAAAAAAAGGAUACGUACAAUUUUUUAUGCACCACGUGGGAUCUAUCUUAUAUGUUUAUUUUAGAAAAAUGAUGCAUACAUGAAGGUAGAAUGCACCAUAUGAGAUCUUUUUUAAGACAAACGUGAUAUAUCUAUCCUAUGCGUACAACACCACAUGAGUAUUUAUUUUAUCUAAUAUUUUAUUUAAACGUGCGUCCAUGCAGGGCACAAUACACCAUGUCAGAUCUAGUUUUUUUUUCUUUUUUUUAGGCGUUUUGCUUUUUUAGGAACGGAGGGAGUAAGAUGCAUGGAUGCAAGGCACAAUACACCACGUCAGAUUUAUUUAUUUUUUCAGCUUUUUUAGGCGUUUUACUUUUAGGAUGAGAAGUCUAGGGAUGACAAGUCUAUGGCUUACUUUUUUUUUCCUUUUCUUGAUGGGAGGGCGUGAGUGUCCUAUUUCUCCUCCCCAGGUAAAGAUACGUACGUGCGCUUAGGUGGAGCUGUCUCUCUCUCUCUUUUUUGCGUGGCAAAGGUAACUUAUUAAGGGCAUUGGUGGGUAAUAUUUUUGAUCUUUUAAUCCAUUGGUUGUGCUUGCCUGAUGGGUUUAAAUUGAUGGCCGGAUGUUUCUAAUUAUUAUGAGGUUUUCUAGACUAAUUCUCUUUUUUCUGGACACCCCAUAAAGCACUUUUUAUAUAUAAAUAGAUAAAUAGAUGUGUGUGUUAGCUUUUUGUUGUAUGCAUCAUUAUCUUAAAAAGGUCAAGUGUUUGUUCACAAUGUUUAUAUUCUCUUGAUGCGGCAUUAUUUUUUAUUAAUAAGAAGUUAGGCCGCGGUCUAUUUUUUGUUUUAAUUGUGAGUCAAUAAAAAGGCUUUCAUAUAUGUUAUAAUGAUGUUUAUUAUCGACAUUAUUUUAAUUGUGGCAUGUCGGACAUGUGGUUGUUAACAUCCUCCACCUAAAGGUACUCAAAAAUAAUUGCUUUUGAUGGUUUUAGUUGUAAUGAAGGGAUCUUUUUAGAUGUAUGUUGUUACUGCUACUGUAUGAAGUUGCUAGUCUAUAUACGAAUAUCAAUAGAGUCAUUUCACAUAGGGAACGGUGAAUGACAACACGUUUUAUUGAAUUGUGAUAAAUAAUAAGCCAGCAGGUAAUAUAGUAUUCGAGAAGCAGAUACAUAUUGGAACAAGCAUAGACUAGUAAUUAAACCCAUACAAGGGAAUAAUUAGUUAAGAUCUACCCUUACUUAGGGUGAAGAUCAAUAUAAUCACUUGGACCAUAGACCUCAAAUAACUCAGCAAAAAUUCCAUUCUUCCUUCUUGGGUUGCAUCCCAUGUCCCGACAUAGGUUAUCUUUGUACCAGUUAUUCAAAAGUCCAAUGCAGAAUGCAUGGAAUCCGCCAUGAGAGUACCGCUUCAUGAACUUCUCCCAUUCUAGGACAUCCCUAUGCAUUGUUUUAAUACUCGGUAACCUAAAUCCACCAUCCAUGAAAUGUGCUAGCCACUUGGCCCGUAGUUCUGAGGUGUGGAGAUUUGCAUAGCUCUCUGAAUAUCCGAUGACUGCGAGUUGUGGAAUGUUGGGAUGUACACAAUCCCUGUGAGAAAAUGUAUACCAAAUAAAUUAGAAACUUUUCAGAGAUACUUGAAGUAAAUAAAAUAAUGAAAAUCGGUGAUGACCUGUACAGUGAUAGAGUCAUGGAUGUUGAGCCACUCAAAAUACUCUGGAAGUAUUUCGAUGUGAACAUGCUCUUGAUAUUUUGGUCGCCAUUGAAUCCUGUUCCAAAGAUAACUAUGUCACUCUUUACCAACGUAGAUUCACCUUCAACCAGCACACCUUCUUUGCAAAAGCUGAAGGUCUUUGACUUCUCAACCAAGAUGCUGCCUUCCUCUAGAUUCUUGUAAUGAUCCUUGGUUGCAAGUUCAACCCAGCAUCCCACCAUCCCCUCAAAAAAACUAUGGUCGGGAACCAUGUCAUGCUUCUUCAUUGUAAUGGAGUAGUAGCUCUCGGCGAACUUUGAAAACAUCAACUUCUACUCAUACACAAAACGAGGAUAGACUUGUUAGGUGUUAAGUCUAAAAAUACAAACAUUUACACUUUAAAUAAUAUUAAGGUUGUAACUUGUAUAAAUAAAGGCAAAAUGUUGCCGUACUAAUGGAGUCAAGAUGGUAGCUAACAAGCUAAGGAAGAGGCCUUCGCCAGGCUUAUGAAUAAGGAGUUCACCGAACCGAGUUAGAUAUAAUUUUGAUAUGUCGAUACCCCAAGCAUAGAAGUCCGGUAAGACCCAUUGCUUGGUUCGGACAACCAUUGUGCAUGGUUUCUCAGUACCUAAAAAAAAAA
rnacentral:lncRNA from 1 species